UACCCAUUGCUUUUUGUUUCAUUUUUUAAAAUAUUUCCAUUAUUAAUAUUUUUAAAUUCAUUAUAUAUAAUAUGUAUCAUCUAUAGUAAUAAUUAUUAAUUCAUUAUUAAUAGUUAGACAUGCAUAUCUCCAGCAUACUUAUUGCUGUUACUUGAUUCAUCGGUGUUAGCUAUUACCAUAAAUUCUUGUAUGAUUGAGGAAGGUAUAGUUCACUUGUACUCUCACCACUUUUAUCUCCCUCUUCCUCUCAAUAAAGCACUGUAUUUAGACUUAGUUUUCUAACAGCUUUAUUGAGAUAAAGCUUAUGGCAUUUGCAUGACAUAAAUUCACCCAUCUAGUGUACAGUUCCAUUGUUUUAAUAUAUUGAGCGUGGUGUAAUCUCACCAUGAUCUGAAUUUAGAGCAUUUUUAUUCUCCGUCACUGUUCACCAUUACUCCCUUUUCCCAGAUCCUGGCAACCACUAAUCUACUUUCUGUCUCAAUGGAUUUGCCUUUUCUGGACAUUUCAUACAAAUAGAAUCUUAUGAUUUUUGUGGUCUUUUGUAAUUGGCUUCUCUUCAUACAAUGUCAAGAUUCAUUCGUGUUCUUAUAGCAGGUAUCAGUACAUCAUUCCUUUUAUGUAUAGAUACAUGAAUUUUGUUUACUCAACAGUUGGUGGAAUUUGGAUUAUUUCCAUUUUUUGGCUAUUAUGAAUAAUGCUGUAUUUGUAUAUUCCGCCCUGCCCCCAGGAAUCGGUCAGCAUUUUACUUUAUAGUACAUUCAUAAUAAGUUCCUCCAUUUCCAAGGUAACUAGAUCCCAGUCAGGUUAACACUGCUGGUAACAAAAUUAUACGACUAUGCAUUGUGAACAUCCAUGUACAAGUUUUUGUGUGGAUACAUGUUUUCAUCUCUUGGUAUAUACCUAGGAAUGGAAUUGCUGGGUCAUAUGGUAAUUCUAACAUUUAGCAUUUUGAGGAAUUAACAAACUUUUCCAUAGUAUGUGCCAUUUUACAUUCCCACCAGCGAUGUUUAAGGGUUCCAGUUUUUUCACAUCUUCACCAACACUUGUUAUUGUCUAUUUUGAUGACUUUGUAACUUUAAUAUACCUUGAAUAGGAAAACUUAAAACCGUUUUGUUGUCUGCUGUCACCACACAACAAUGAACAAGGCUCCUGUGAUCAAAUGUGUGGGACUUUUUCUCCCACCAUACACCACGCAAUCAGUUCUGCAGCAGAUACCAGCUAGGUGUCCUCUGAUUCAGUUCAGUUCUAAAGCUGUCUUCCUGGAGACCCUGUGGAUUGAGGGCUCACUCCCCAAGACUGCCCCUCCCCCAUAUCCAGUGCCAGUUGCAAGCCCCCGGUUGUUUUACCUGUGCUUCUGAUGAACUGGCUAUAAAUUGGGUUUCCCAUGACACUCUCCUUGGGGUGAAUUAAUUUGCUAGAGGAACUGACAGAACUCAGGGCAACAUGUUUACUGUUUUUUUUUUUUUUUUAAUAAAGGAUGUUACAAAGGAUAGAGAUGAAUAGA